rnacentral:rRNA from 1 species
UACGAAGGGUGCAAGCGUUGUUCGGAUUUAUUGGGCGUAAAGCGCGCGCAGGCGGAUUUGCAAGUCAUAUGUGAAAUCUCGGGGCUUAACCCCGAAACUGCGUCUGAAACUGCAGAUCUAGAGUCUUAGAGGGGGAAGGGGAAUUUCUUGUGUAGGGGUAAAAUCCGUAGAUAUGAGAAGGAACACCUGAGGCGAAGGCGCCUUCCUGGCUAAGUACUGACGCUGAGGCGCGAAAGCGUGGGGAGCAAACAGG